CAAGCGAAGUGGCCACUUCAGCCCAUAUUUGAGCGGAGCGGUGUCUGCAAAUCAGAGGCUUCGGUCUGGCGCAAGAGAAAAUUAAACUGACAGUGAACCCUAAAUGAUUCUUCGAAGAAAUAAGUUAAGGUAAAGAAAUCGAUCUAUCUAUUUAUUUUCUUCUUUUCUUCCCCAUCUUCUUUCUCUCCUCGAGUGGGCGCACAAUUCUUUUUUCGGACGUGCUCCGUCAAGUUUAAACCCUAGCCGCCUACGCCUUCAAUCUCUUCCUUCCUUCCGUCAUCUUCAUCUCCUAGUUUUGAGAAGAAAAUCAUAAUUUUACACCGGAUUCCCUUUCAAUUUCGUCCAGCCCUAAUCUUUACCGUAAUUACUUCUCCCUCGUCGCGGUGAUGAAGCCAACCACAUCAAUUUCCCCAAUUCUAAUUGUUCUGAAUCCACCAUUAUUCAUCUUGUCUAGAGAUGGUAAACAUCUAGGGAAAGGGCUGCGUCGGAUUGGAGUACCUCCUUUAAUUAUGAUAAUUAUCCUCUUGUUGAUAUCUAUUUUAGAUUUGUAGUUGUGAUUAGGAUUAAAAUUAUUUUAGAAUUUGGAUUUAGUUUAGAUUGGAAUUAGUUGUCGAGUUUGUAUACAUAAUUGGUAUAUGAUUGGUGAAUUGCAAACUGUCUAGAAGAUUUAGGAGAUUUGAGUAAGAUGAGUUGUGAGUUUAUUUCUUAUGAUAAUUUUAGGAUUAAUCGAUAAUUUAGACAAGACACGAACAACCUCCAAGGGCUGAUUGUAGGUUGUGUUGGAUUGAUUUGAUUUAGGAUUGAUAAUUGAGGGCAUUCGAUAAAAAUCUGCAUACAACAGCUGCUGGUGGUUGCAAAAUCUGAAAUUUUGCAGAUUCAUUCCGUGGUGAAUUGACGCUGAGGAGGAGGCUGCUUUGAAAAUUCCCAAGCACGAAGACUUAUUCCCUACCGAGCUUACUCAAGGUUGUUCGAGGGCGAACAACAAUUCAACUGUGAGGAGGGAAGUCAUCGGCGCCACCAAAAAUUUUGAAAAAAAAAAGAAAAUCUGGCUGCACAAGACAUGAAUCAGGGAAGUUCUUGAUUCCCUUCUCAAUUAUUUAUGUUGGCUUAUUUAUUGAUUGCUAAUUUGUUAGAUUAUAGAAUAAUUGCUUCUUAGAUAAAUUAGUAGUUGUAAUCUAGUUGAUUAGGUUAAUUUUCAGAGCAGUUGUACAUUUUUUUAGCUUACUGUUACUUAGUUUGCUCGGUUCAUCUUUGAUCUCAACUGUACCAAUUUUAGGCUAGUUUAGUCGGCUUUAGUUGAGGUAGUGUAGAAUUAGUUAGCUUAACUAGUUAGAUAUUUUCUCUUUUGUAUUUUUAGUUGGGUGUUCUGCUAUAGUUUUUAGCCUUAUACAAUAUGUUGUUCACUUUAAGUUUUGUUAGAUAUACUGCUGCAUGUUUAAUUUAGUUGAUGCAUACUUGGUGAUUGCAUUAGGCUAGCCUACUAGAUAGUCUUAGAAAUCUUCUGCUGCUGAGUAUUAUUGAUGGGAUAAUUGUUAAGUUAUACUUUUCUUCUUCUUUAGUUUAGGGAUUAGCGGUGUGAUUAGAAGUUAGCACAUAAUUAAUUAAUCGGAAGUAGUUGAGAUAGUGCAUUCUUUAGUCUCAUAUUAGAAAGUGUGUUUUGCUAAAUGUUACCCUUCAUUAGCUUUUGGCUGGUAUGAUGCUAUUCAAUUCAUUUUAGUAGCUUAUUGAUUAAUUAUGUAAACAUUGGAUUGAUCAUGAUAAACUGCGGUAGUGUUGUAAUUAGUGUAGCAUUGGUUUUAAAUUUUGCAGAACAGGUGUAGUAGGAUGGCUUUAGUUUAGUUUAGUUAGAUUAGUUGUGCUGUGAUUUUUUGUAAUAUAAUAUGAUCCCUUAAUUUGAUGCUUCAUUCUUUCUUUCUUAAUCUAAUUUUUUUUAGCACCAUUAGUUUAAUCCACUGUGGUGAAGAUGUUGGCUUAUUUAUUUAUUUAUUGUAACCAGGCCUGUGUUUGAUUGAUUAGCUUAGGAUAAGUGUUGUAUUGUGUGCUAAUUAAUUUAUGUGAAAUUAAUUUAUUUUGGCUUAAAUUAUUCAUAUUGAUUUUUAAUUUAUGUUAUUUAAUUUAUGUCGAUUAAUUUAUUUUGUGUAAUUUAUUAUUGUCUAAUUUAUUUUGAAAUAAAUUAUUUUAUAUUUAUUAUAUCUAUUUUUAUUUAAAAUAAAAUUAGCCGUCAAAUAUGUUAUUUUCUCGAGUCAAUCGAUUUCUAUUAUACUUAAUUUGAGUUUGAAAUUGAAUCUAUUCAAUAAUUGAAAUUCUUUUGAGUAUGAGUAUUAAUCGGAAUUUUGAUAAAAUUGGUUGAUAUCUCAUUCAUUUCAUUUAUUCCGUACUUAGUCUAAUUUUUAGAACUUUCGUCUAUUUAGCUGCCCUUGUUAGUGGAGAAGAUGAAUGAACUUUUCUUAAAAAUGGGAUUGACGAACGAAUAGUGUGAGGAGGAUGCCGAUUAUCUUUAUAUGCGACUUGACUUGGCAAAAAAAAAAAAUAAAAUAAACGCGAAAAA